UACAGAGGGUGCAAGCGUUAAUCGGAAUUACUGGGCGUAAAGCGCGCGUAGGUGGUUCGUUAAGUUGGAUGUGAAAGCCCCGGGCUCAACCUGGGAACUGCAGUGGAUACUGGCGGACUAGAGUGUGAUAGAGGAUGGUGGAAUUCCCGGUGUAGCGGUGAAAUGCGUAGAGAUCGGGAGGAACACCAGUGGCGAAGGCGGCCAUCUGGAUCAACACUGACGCUGAGGCACGAAAGCGUGGGGAGCAAACAGG
rnacentral:rRNA from 1 species